UGUGAUGGGGAGCGAAAUUUAGUAGCGAAGUAGCUGAUUUCACACUGUCAAGAAAAGUCUCUAUCGAGGUUAAAGGUACCCGUACCGCAAACCGACACAGGUGGGUGAGGAGAGUAUCCUAAGGCCAGCGAGAGAACUGUUGUUAAGGAACUCGGCAAAAUGACCCCGUAACUUAGGGAUAAGGGGUGCCACCAUCAGGUGGCCGCAGAGAAUAGGCCCAAGCGACUGUUUACCAAAAACAUAGGUUUCUGCUAAGUCGCAAGACGAUGUAUAGGAGCUGACGCCUGCCCGGUGCUGGAAGGUUAAGGGGAUCUGUUAGAG
rnacentral:rRNA from 1 species